UACGUAGGCAGCAAGCGUUGUUCGGAAUUACUGGGCGUAAAGCGCAUGUAGGCGGAUCCAUAAGUCGGGCGUGAAAUCCCCAGGCUCAACCUGGGAACUGCGCUCGAAACUGUGGGUCUUGAGUGUCGGAGAGGAUGGCGGAAUUCCUGGUGUAGAGGUGAAAUUCGUAGAUAUCAGGAGGAACACCGGUGGCGAAGGCGGUCUGCUGGGGUCGAACUGGACGCUGAGGCGCGACAGCGUGGGGAGCAAACAGG
rnacentral:rRNA from 1 species